AUGUUCACUUUAAAAGCAAUUUGUGCGCUGUGUGCGUGGAUGUGCGCGCGUCUACCUGCAGAAGGUACCUGUGAAGGAACCCUUGGCGCCUUGGGGGACCAGCGCAGUCUGCUCGGACUUGGCGCAGCACCUGCGCGGCACCUGGCGCAGGGCAGAUGUUCAGCAAAGGCGCCUAGACAGCAGCUGGUGGGAAACAGCACCGGCCUCUCCGCUGCCCAAACCCGGUUAUCCUUUCAAACACCCAAUGGGGGCGCCUGUGUGGCUCAGUUGGUGAAGCGGCGGGCUCUUGAUCUCCGCUACGGUCUCAAUGUCAGGGUCCUGAGUUCAAGCCCCGCUGGGCGCGGAGCCUACUUAGAAAACUCCAGGGGGGUAAGGACUCGAGAAGGACACCGGGAGGACCGAGGAAGCACUCCGGGAGCCCGGAGAGGAUCGCAGGACCACUCCGGGAGCUCGGGGAGGACCUCGGGAGCACUCCAGGAGCUCAGGGCGCCAGAGGGAGCACUCCGGGAGCUCGGGGAGGAGGAGCCCUUCCUCCCAGGGGCCCACCAGCCAGGCUCCCCCCAGCUCUGCUCAGUGCCCGGCACGGAAGAUCCGCGACCGCACCCUACAGCCCCGCAAAGCCCGGCGCACGACCCCGGGGGGCGGCCGCGUCAGGGCAGAGCCCCAAGACCCCGGGGGCGAGACCCACCGCAGCAAGUGCUCGCCUGUCAGAACCUGGGCGGAGGGCGCCGACCCAGGCCGGGGGCUCCGGACCGACGGACCCACCUCUCCGCGGCCCGCCGAGGUUCGCGGCAGCUCCUCCGGGGGCUCCUCUGCAGCGCGGGCGGCUGCGGCGGCGGCGUUGGCGGCGGGCGACUCCAUGGCAACGGGCCGCCCCAGGGGGCGGGGGAGCUCCGCGCCGCACGCACCCCUGCCCCGGCGGUGGUUCGGUCGGCGCGGCCCGGCGCAGGCGCAGUGCGGCCGGGCCCGGGCCGGAGAGGUCCCGCGUGGAGCGGCUGCCUCGGUGGACCCGACCGCGCGCGUGGCGGCCGCUCAGGGUGUGGCCCAAACAGGCUCCAGUUCGGAUGGGCGGUCGGCCGCAAGAAGGCGGUGUGUCCCCUGAAAUCGGGCUUCCCGGCUGCUGCCUGUGGGGCAGAGCGCUGGCACACGCGGCCCGCCGCGCGGGAGCGCCACUGA
rnacentral:lncRNA from 1 species